UUCUCCCUACGGACGCAGCAGUAGGGAAUUUUCGUCAAUGGGCGCAAGCCUGAACGAGCAAUGCCGCGUGAACGAGGAAGGUCUUCGGAUCGUAAAGUUCUGUUGAAGGGGAAAAAGAGCGGAGAGAGGAGAUGGUCUCCGAUUGAUAUUACCCUUCGAGGAAGUCACGGCUAACUACGUGCCAGCAGCCGCGGUAAUACGUAGGUGGCGAGCGUUAUCCGGAAUGAUUGGGCGUAAAGGGUGCGUAGGCGGCCUGCUAAGUCUGGAGUGAAAGGUACCGGCUCAACCGGUACAGGCUCUGGAAA
rnacentral:rRNA from 1 species